rnacentral:lncRNA from 1 species
CGACCGAGAGGCUUAGCGACCGACCGGGAAGGUGUCCAUCCAUAUCUAGACAUCUGACAUGUCUAUGCAAUUAUGCACUCAAAAGGCUCAAAAAGACCCCAAAAUCACCACUUUCCUCCAAUACGUACCUAAACCUGAAAAAAAUACUAAAAAGACUCCAAAGCAACUAUAAUGUAUUUAAAAACACCUAUAUACCAUGGCUAAAAGUGGAUAAAAUCCAUGGUAUAUCAGCACGCGACAACAUGGUCUAUUACCUGAAUUAAUUCCUAUUGAGUUAGAAUUACUAGAAACAAGCGACAAUUGAUUUUGUUAACUUAGUGAACAUAUCAAACCUAUACAUAAAGCUUGCUAGAAGAAACAUCGAUCGACGCAACGACAAUUGAAUCGAUCGACGUUUUAAAAGGUGUAUCGAUCAAUAUUCAUAUAGAAUCAUUGAUCGACACUUUCUCAUGAUCAACAAACGAAAGUUGAGAUCUAAGAUCUAGACAUUAGAUAAUCUAAACAAACGGAAGUUGAUAGAUUAUUACUUAAGUUUGAGUUCUAGGAUCAAUCCUUAGCAUCUAUAUCAUUAUAAUCCCGAUAACCUAGAACCCUAAGUCUAGCAACCAUCCUUUCAUAACAAACAAACUCUUGAUUUAUAAUCAACUGAACAAUUGUCUUUUUCACCACUGCUUUACUUUAUUUACUAUUACUAUAAUUACCUAGCUUAAUCAUAAACUGUUUAGAUCUAUUGUGUGCCCUAGCUCCCUGUGGAUU